UACGUAGGGUGCAAGCGUUAAUCGGAAUUACUGGGCGUAAAGCGUGCGCAGGCGGUUAUGUAAGACAGAUGUGAAAUCCCCGGGCUCAACCUGGGACCUGCAUUUGUGACUGCAUCGCUAGAGUACGGUAGAGGGGGAUGGAAUUCCGCGUGUAGCAGUGAAAUGCGUAGAUAUGCGGAGGAACACCGAUGGCGAAGGCAAUCCCCUGGACCUGUACUGACGCUCAUGCACGAAAGCGUGGGGAGCAAACAGG
rnacentral:rRNA from 1 species